rnacentral:rRNA from 1 species
UACGUAGGGGGCAAGCGUUGUCUGGAUUUAUUGGGCGUAAAGAGCGUGUAGGCGGCUUUACAGGUCCGUUGUGAAAACUCGAGGCUCAACCUCGAGACGCCGGUGGAAACCGUAAAGCUAGAGUCCGGAAGAGGAGAGUGGAAUUCCUGGUGUAGCGGUGAAAUGCGCAGAUAUCAGGAGGAACACCCGUGGCGAAAGCGGCUCUCUGGGACGGUACUGACGCUGAGACGCGAAAGCGUGGGGAGCGAACAGG